CAGUGGGGAAUUUUGGACAAUGGGCGCAAGCCUGAUCCAGCCAUGCCGCGUGCGGGAAGAAGGCCUUCGGGUUGUAAACCGCUUUUGUCAGGGAAGAAAUCUUCUGGGUUAAUACCUCGGGAGGAUGACGGUACCUGAAGAAUAAGCACCGGCUAACUACGUGCCAGCAGCCGCGGUAAUACGUAGGGUGCAAGCGUUAAUCGGAAUUACUGGGCGUAAAGCGUGCGCAGGCGGUUAUGCAAGACAGAUGUGAAAUCCCCGGGCUCAACCUGGGAACUGCAUUUGUGACUGCAUAGCUGGAGUGCGGCAGAGGGGGAUGGAAUUCCGCGUGUAGCAGUGAAAUGCGUAGAUAUGCGGAGGAACACCGAUGGCGAAGGCAAUCCCCUGGGCCUGCACUGACGCUCAUGCACGAAAGCGUGGGGAGCAAACAGGAUUAGA
rnacentral:rRNA from 1 species